rnacentral:rRNA from 1 species
AUUGAACGCUGGCGGAAUGCUUUACACAUGCAAGUCGAGGGGCAUCACGGGUAGCAAUACCUGGUGGCGACCGGCGCAAGGGUGCGUAACGCGUGAGCAACAUGCCCUAUACAGGGGGAUAAUCCAGGGAAACUUGGUCUAAUAUCCCAUAGCAUUUAGAGGUGGCAUCACCAUUAAAUUAAAGCUUCGGUGGUAUAGGAUUGGCUCGCGUGACAUUAGCUAGAUGGUGGGGUAACGGCUCACCAUGGCUAUGAUGUCUAGGGGUUCUGAGAGGAAGACCCCCCAACUGGGACUGAGACACGGCCCAGACUCCUACGGGAGGCAGCAGUGAGGAAUAUUGGACAAUGGAUGGAAAUCUGAUCCAGCCAUGCCGCGUGCAGGAAGACGGCCCUAUGGGUUGUAAACUGCUUUUAAUGGGACAAUAAGGUCUACGAGUAGACCGAUGAGAGUACCAUAUGAAUAAGC